ACGGGGGUGGCAAGCGUUGUCCGGAAUUACUAGGCGUAAAGGGCAGGUAGGCGGAUCAGUAAGUCGGAUGUUUAAUCCUCGGUCUUAAGCUGAGACAUGCGUUUGAUACUGUUGAUCUAGAAUGCGGCGGGGAAAGACGGAAUUCCGGGUGUAGCGGUGGAAUGGGCAGAUAUCCGAAGGAAACCCGAAGGCGUAUGCAGUCUCCCAUACCGGAAUUGAAGCUGAUCUGCGAAGGUGUGGGGAUCAAACAU
rnacentral:rRNA from 1 species